GCUUGCCUGGCAAACAUCAAGGUCCUGAGUUCAGAUACAGAGAAGAUUAGCAUGGCCCCUGUGCAAGGAUGACACGCAAAUUUGUGAAGCAUUCCAUAUUUUU
ensembl:snRNA U6 U6 spliceosomal RNA